AGUCACCAUAUGAUCCCCGGAUGAGGACG
rnacentral:piRNA from 1 species